CCUACGGGAGGCAGCAGUGGGGAAUAUUGGGCAAUGGAGGAAACUCUGACCCAGCGACGCCGCGUGCGGGAUGAAGGCCUUCGGGUUGUAAACCGCUUUCAGUAGGGAAGAAGCGAAAGUGACGGUACCUACAGAAGAAGCACCGGCUAACUAUGUGCCAGCAGCCGCGGUAAUACAUAGGGUGCAAGCGUUGUCCGGAAUUAUUGGGCGUAAAGAGCUCGUAGGUGGUUCGUCACGUCGGAUGUGAAAAUCUGGGGCUCAACCCCAGACCUGCAUUCGAUACGGGCGAUCUAGAGUGUGGUAGGGGAGACCGGAAUUCCUGGUGCAGCGGUGGAAUGCGCAGAUAUCAGGAGGAACACCAAUGGCGAAGGCAGGUCUCUGGGCCAUUACUGACACUGAGGAGCGAAAGCGUGGGGAGCGAACAGGAUUAGAUACCCUGGUAGUCCACGCCGUAAACGGUGGGCACUAGUUGUGGGAACCUUCCACGGUUUCUGCGACGCAGCUAACGCAUUAAGUGCCCGCCUGGGGAGUACGAUCGCAAGNUUAAACUCAAAUGAAUUGACGG
rnacentral:rRNA from 1 species